rnacentral:rRNA from 1 species
UGGGGAAUAUUGGACAAUGGGGGCAACCCUGAUCCAGCGAUGCCGCGUGUGUGAAGAAGGCCUUCGGGUUGUAAAGCACUUUAGUUGGGGAAGAAGGGUAGUGGGUGAAUAGCCUGCUACUUUGACGGUACCCAAAGAAUAAGCACCGGCUAACUCUGUGCCAGCAGCCGCGGUAAUACAGAGGGUGCGAGCGUUAAUCGGAGUUACUGGGCGUAAAGGGCGCGUAGGUGGUUUUGUAAGUGAGAUGUGAAAUCCCUGGGCUUAACCUAGGAAUUGCAUUUUAGACUAUGAGACUGGAGUACAGUAGAGGGUGGCGGAAUUUCCGGUGUAGCGGUGAAAUGCGUAGAGAUCGGAAGGAACAUCAGUGGCGAAGGCGGCCACCUGGACUGUAACUGACACUGAGGCGCGAAAGCGUGGGGAGCAAACAGG